UGGCGGCAGGCCUAACACAUGCAAGNCGAACGGUAACAGGAAUCAGCUUGCUGNUUCGCUGACGAGUGGCGGACGGGUGAGUAAUGUCUGGGAAACUGCCUGAUGGAGGGGGAUAACUACUGGAAACGGUAGCUAAUACCGCAUAACGUCCGCAAGACCAAAGAGGGGGACCUUCGGGCCUCUUGCCAUCGGAUGUGCCCAGAUGGGAUUAGCUAGUAGGUGGGGUAAAGGCUCACCUAGGCGACGAUCCCUAGCUGGUCUGAGAGGAUGACCAUCAGCCACACUGGAACUGAGACACGGUCCAGACUCCUACGGGAGGCAGCAGUGGGGAAUAAUAUUGCACAAUGGGCGCAAGCCUGAUGCACGCCAUGCCGCGUGUAUGAAGAAGGCCUUCGGGUGGUUGUAAAGUACUUUCAGCGGGGAGGAAGGGAGUAAAGUUAAUACCUUUGCUCAUUGACGUUACCCGNAGAAGAAGCACCGGCUAACUCCGUGCCAGCAGCCGCGGUAAUACGGAGAGUGCAAGCGUUAAUCGGAAUUACUGGGCGUAAAGCGCACGCAGGCGGUUUGUUAAGUCAGAUGUGAAAUCCCCGGGCUCAACCUGGGAACUGCAUCUGAUACUGGCAAGCUUGAGUCUCGUAGANNAGGGGGGUAGAAUUCCAGGUGUAGCGGUGAAAUGCGUAGAGAUCUGGAGGAAUACCGGUGGNNNCGAAGGCGGCCCCCUGGACGAAGACUGACGCUCAGGUGCGAAAGCGUGGGGAGCAAACAGGAUUAGAUACCCUGGUAGUCCACGCCGUAAACGAUGUCGACUUGGAGGUUGUGCCCUUGACGUGGC
rnacentral:rRNA from 1 species